rnacentral:rRNA from 1 species
UACGUAGGGUGCAAGCGUUAUUCGGAUUUAUUGGGCGUAAAGGGCUCGUAGGCGGUUCGUCGCGUCCGGUGUGAAAGUCCAUCGCUUAACGGUGGAUCCGCGCCGGGUACGGGCGGGCUUGAGUGCGGUAGGGGAGACUGGAAUUCCCGGUGUAGCGGUGGAAUGCGUAGAUAUCACGAAGAACUCCGAUUGCGAAGGCAGCUCACUGGACUGCAACUGACACUGAGGCUCGAAAGUGUGGGUAUCAAACAGG